rnacentral:rRNA from 1 species
GGUUAAGCGACUAAGCGUACACGGUGGAUGCCCUGGCAGUCAGAGGCGAUGAAGGACGUGCUAAUCUGCGAUAAGCGUCGGUAAGGUGAUAUGAACCGUUAUAACCGGCGAUUUCCGAAUGGGGAAACCCAGUGUGUUUCGACACACUAUCAUUAACUGAAUCCAUAGGUUAAUGAGGCGAACCGGGGGAACUGAAACAUCUAAGUACCCCGAGGAAAAGAAAUCAACCGAGAUUCCCCCAGUAGCGGCGAGCGAACGGGGAGGAGCCCAGAGCCUGAAUCAGUGUGUGUGUUAGUGGAAGCGUCUGGAAAGGCGCGCGAUACAGGGUGACAGCCCCGUACACAAAAAUGCACAUACUGUGAGCUCGAUGAGUAGGGCGGGACACGUGGUAUCCUGUCUGAAUAUGGGGGGACCAUCCUCCAAGGCUAAAUACUCCUGACUGACCGAUAGUGAACCAGUACCGUGAGGGAAAGGCGAAAAGAACCCCGGCGAGGGGAGUGAAAAAGAACCUGAAACCGUGUACGUACAAGCAGUGGGAGCCUCUUUUAUGGGGUGACUGCGUACCUUUUGUAUAAUGGGUCAGCGACUUAUAUUCUGUAGCAAGGUUAACCGAAUAGGGGAGCCGAAGGGAAACCGAGUCUUAACUGGGCGUUAAGUUGCAGGGUAUAGACCCGAAACCCGGUGAUCUAGCCAUGGGCAGGUUGAAGGUUGGGUAACACUAACUGGAGGACCGAACCGACUAAUGUUGAAAAAUUAGCGGAUGACUUGUGGCUGGGGGUGAAAGGCCAAUCAAACCGGGAGAUAGCUGGUUCUCCCCGAAAGCUAUUUAGGUAGCGCCUCGUGAAUUCAUCUCCGGGGGUAGAGCACUGUUUCGGCAAGGGGGUCAUCCCGACUUACCAACCCGAUGCAAACUGCGAAUACCGGAGAAUGUUAUCACGGGAGACACACGGCGGGUGCUAACGUCCGUCGUGAAGAGGGAAACAACCCAGACCGCCAGCUAAGGUCCCAAAGUCAUGGUUAAGUGGGAAACGAUGUGGGAAGGCCCAGACAGCCAGGAUGUUGGCUUAGAAGCAGCCAUCAUUUAAAGAAAGCGUAAUAGCUCACUGGUCGAGUCGGCCUGCGCGGAAGAUGUAACGGGGCUAAACCAUGCACCGAAGCUGCGGCAGCGACACUAUGUGUUGUUGGGUAGGGGAGCGUUCUGUAAGCCUGUGAAGGUGUACUGUGAGGUAUGCUGGAGGUAUCAGAAGUGCGAAUGCUGACAUAAGUAACGAUAAAGCGGGUGAAAAGCCCGCUCGCCGGAAGACCAAGGGUUCCUGUCCAACGUUAAUCGGGGCAGGGUGAGUCGACCCCUAAGGCGAGGCCGAAAGGCGUAGUCGAUGGGAAACAGGUUAAUAUUCCUGUACUUGGUGUUACUGCGAAGGGGGGACGGAGAAGGCUAUGUUGGCCGGGCGACGGUUGUCCCGGUUUAAGCGUGUAGGCUGGUUUUCCAGGCAAAUCCGGAAAAUCAAGGCUGAGGCGUGAUGACGAGGCACUACGGUGCUGAAGCAACAAAUGCCCUGCUUCCAGGAAAAGCCUCUAAGCAUCAGGUAACAUCAAAUCGUACCCCAAACCGACACAGGUGGUCAGGUAGAGAAUACCAAGGCGCUUGAGAGAACUCGGGUGAAGGAACUAGGCAAAAUGGUGCCGUAACUUCGGGAGAAGGCACGCUGAUAUGUAGGUGAAGUCCCUCGCGGAUGGAGCUGAAAUCAGUCGAAGAUACCAGCUGGCUGCAACUGUUUAUUAAAAACACAGCACUGUGCAAACACGAAAGUGGACGUAUACGGUGUGACGCCUGCCCGGUGCCGGAAGGUUAAUUGAUGGGGUCAGCGCAAGCGAAGCUCUUGAUCGAAGCCCCGGUAAACGGCGGCCGUAACUAUAACGGUCCUAAGGUAGCGAAAUUCCUUGUCGGGUAAGUUCCGACCUGCACGAAUGGCGUAAUGAUGGCCAGGCUGUCUCCACCCGAGACUCAGUGAAAUUGAACUCGCUGUGAAGAUGCAGUGUACCCGCGGCAAGACGGAAAGACCCCGUGAACCUUUACUAUAGCUUGACACUGAACAUUGAGCCUUGAUGUGUAGGAUAGGUGGGAGGCUUAGAAGUGUGGACGCCAGUCUGCAUGGAGCCGACCUUGAAAUACCACCCUUUAAUGUUUGAUGUUCUAACGUUGACCCGUAAUCCGGGUUGCGGACAGUGUCUGGUGGGUAGUUUGACUGGGGCGGUCUCCUCCUAAAGAGUAACGGAGGAGCACGAAGGUUGGCUAAUCCUGGUCGGACAUCAGGAGGUUAGUGCAAUGGCAUAAGCCAGCUUGACUGCGAGCGUGACGGCGCGAGCAGGUGCGAAAGCAGGUCAUAGUGAUCCGGUGGUUCUGAAUGGAAGGGCCAUCGCUCAACGGAUAAAAGGUACUCCGGGGAUAACAGGCUGAUACCGCCCAAGAGUUCAUAUCGACGGCGGUGUUUGGCACCUCGAUGUCGGCUCAUCACAUCCUGGGGCUGAAGUAGGUCCCAAGGGUAUGGCUGUUCGCCAUUUAAAGUGGUACGCGAGCUGGGUUUAGAACGUCGUGAGACAGUUCGGUCCCUAUCUGCCGUGGGCGCUGGAGAACUGAGGGGGGCUGCUCCUAGUACGAGAGGACCGGAGUGGACGCAUCACUGGUGUUCGGGUUGUCAUGCCAAUGGCACUGCCCGGUAGCUAAAUGCGGAAGAGAUAAGUGCUGAAAGCAUCUAAGCACGAAACUUGCCCCGAGAUGAGUUCUCCCUGAGACUAUAAGUCUCCUGAAGGAACGUUGAAGACGACGACGUUGAUAGGCCGGGUGUGUAAGCGCAGCGAUGCGUUGAGCUAACCGGUACUAAUGAACCGUGAGGCUUAACCUU